UGCAAGCUCUGUGAUUAGGGUCAUUGAAAGCAGGCUGACCUGAACUGAAUAAUAAUAAUAAUAAUAAUAAUAAUAAUAAUAAUAAUAAUAAUACAUGUUAAGUCUAUAUAAACAAUAGCCAAAUAUCUGCACUGGAUGUGGCACUUUGUUCAUGCAUGAGCAUCAUGGCAGUGCUGCCCAUCCCUAUCGAUAAAUUACUAAAUGGCAUACAAAGAAAACAAUGACCUCCCAUUCAUUCUGAAUCAUCACAACAGUCCAGAUCUAGGAGCCUGGGAGGAGGCCGUGAAGGCAUCAUGUCACUCAGUAGUCAGUGCACACACGGGAAUGCAGCUGUGCAGGUUUAAGACUGGUUAGACGAGCUUUGCGCUUGAAAUGUAAUUGUUUUUACAAACGUGCUUGGAAUACCACGUCUUUUCCUCACUGGCCUGUUUUUUUUUCGCAGAACAGACAACCGAUACUCUUCUUAGGAGACUUUGUGCGAGCUGUUUGAACGUUGCUGUUGUUGCAGGAGGGGAAGAAACUGUCAGUGCACAUUGUUUUACCUGCCAACGACAGACGGAGAAGGAGCAAAGGUUGUCUCAUGUCUUCAGUCGGGCCGGUCUGCGGAGAGAUGAAACUAUUUACGCAAUAACUUUUACAGACUUUCUCAAGUCAAUGCUGUACAGAUUAUUACGAUGCUUUAGACGCUAUUCAAUUCAGAUUAUACCUGACAGACAUAAACCUCCUGAGUAGCGAUAAGAAGAGGAAGCUUGAUGAAACUUACCAAGCAGGUGUUAUGGAUCUACAGUAUUUCCUGAGCUGGAAAGUUGCCCUGCUGCUUCUCAUGGUGCCAUGUGGGCUCCAGUGUAUGUCAGUGCACAUCCUCACUGAGGAGCCCGUGCAUGCGAUGCCAGACUCCAGUCCGCUUCUGAAAGCUCUGAUCGAGCAUGGACCCCUGGAAGAGGUCUCUGUGGUAACCUGGGAGUGGGAGCCCGAAACUGGAAUCUCCCCCAAGAGAGGCACACUGGCCACGUGCUCUGGCACAAGCCUCAAGUGUGUCGGCACGAGGCCAAACGUCCAUGUGCAUGUGGAUCAGCGGGAGACGACACUUCAGAUUAAUGGAUACAGCGGAGCAGACAGCGGCGUGUACAUUGUGACUGUGACGGAUCACAAAAGAGCCAAAACCACCGCACAAUGCAUCGUCAGGAGAUAUGAGGCAGUGCACCACGUCUCAGUCAGCGUCAACACGUCUCACUCCACGCUGGUUUGCGGCGAGGCCUGGGGCACAGACCCCCACUUCAGCUGGCUCCAUGAAAGAGUCGCCAUCACCGAGACUGUGGGAAGCGUCUCCAAAGAUGGAACGACAUUGUUUGUGACCAAGACUCCCAUCUGUGGCCACUUCACCUGCAUGGUCAGCAACAAGCUGGGCCACAGUUCUGCCACCUACACUGCAGCACCUUGUGAGACAGAGGGCAGAGGGACAACAGUGGCUGUAGUGUGUCCCAUCCUCCUGCUGCUGUUUGGAGGAGUGCUGGCGUUUCUGCUGUUGAGGCGACACCGGCACAACAGAGGAGAGAGGCUGCACGAACUUUUGGAUGACACCAUCUAAAAAAAAACAGGCCAAAGAUACACGUCUGCUACUCAGAGAGGAGAACAGGAAAUGGACUAGAGCGUGAGGCUCGAACUUCAUGUCCUGUGAGCAGUAUGACCUUACACUGCAUUGGAACAAUGUGACGAGCGGCAAAUGAAAAUAAAUCCUAAAAUGGAUAUUAAGCAUGAAGUGCCAGCAAUGUCUUCACACUGCCUCCUGCUGGGCUGCACCUGACACUGUAUUUUGUUUUGUAAGCUUGAUUUUGAAAUGUACCUUUAUAAUAAAACCCCUUCACAGAAUGUGACAAAACUCAGCUGUUAUUUGAAAGAAGGUUUAAAAAUAGUUUUGACGGCGCUCGAACUGUAUAAGGAGGGAGUUGUGUACGAUCUACAAU
rnacentral:lncRNA from 1 species